rnacentral:rRNA from 1 species
UUUAUUGAGAGUUUGAUCCUGGCUCAGGACGAACGCUGGCGGCGUGCCUAAUACAUGCAAGUCGAGCGCGGGAAGCAAGCAGAUCUCUUCGGAGUGACGUUUGUGGAACGAGCGGCGGACGGGUGAGUAACACGUGGGCAACCUGCCUGUAAGACUGGGAUAACUCCGGGAAAC